rnacentral:rRNA from 1 species
GACGAACGCUGGCGGCGUGCUUAACACAUGCAAGUCGAACGAUGAACCCGGAGCUUGCUCCGGUGGAUUAGUGGCGAACGGGUGAGUAACACGUGAGUAACCUGCCCUUGACUCUGGAAUAACUGCGGGAAACUGUAGCUAAUACCGGAUACGACCCUCGGCGGCAUCGCCAGGGGGUGGAAAGAAUUUCGGUCAAGGAUGGACUCGCGGCCUAUCAGCUAGUUGGUGAGGUAACGGCUCACCAAGGCGACGACGGGUAGCCGGCCUGAGAGGGUGACCGGCCACACUGGGACUGAGACACGGCCCAGACUCCUACGGGAGGCAACAGUGGGGAAUAUUGCACAAUGGGCGCAAGCCUGAUGCAGCAACGCCGCGUGAGGGAUGACGGCCUUCGGGUUGUAAACCUCUUUCAGCACCGACGAAGCGCAAGUGACGGUAGGUGCAGAAGAAGGACCGGCCAACUACGUGCCAGCAGCCGCCGUAA